GGAUGCGAUCAUACCAGUACUAAAGCACCGGAUCCCAUCAGAACUCCGUAGUUAAGCGUGCUUGGGCGAGAGUAGUACUAGGAUGGGUGACCUCCUGGGAAGUCCUCGUGUUGCAUUCC
rnacentral:rRNA from 1 species